AACGAACGCUGGCGGCAUGCCUAACACAUGCAAGUCGAACGAGAUCUUCGGAUCUAGUGGCGCACGGGUGCGUAACGCGUGGGAAUCUGCCCCUUGCUUCGGAAUAACAGUGAGAAAUUACUGCUAAUACCGGAUGAUGUCUUCGGACCAAAGAUUUAUCGGCAUGGGAUGAGCCCGCGUAGGAUUAGGUAGUUGGUGGGGUAAUGGCCUACCAAGCCGACGAUCCUUAGCUGGUCUGAGAGGAUGAUCAGCCACACUGGGACUGAGACACGGCCCAGACUCCUACGGGAGGCAGCAGUGGGGAAUAUUGGACAAUGGGCGAAAGCCUGAUCCAGCAAUGCCGCGUGAGUGAUGAAGGCCUUAGGGUUGUAAAGCUCUUUUAACAGGGAUGAUAAUGACAGUACCUGGAGAAUAAGCUCCGGCUAACUCCGUG
rnacentral:rRNA from 1 species